AACGAACGCUGGCGGCGUGCCUAACACAUGCAAGUCGUGCGAGAAAGUCGCCUUCGGGUGGCGAGUAGAGCGGCGCACGGGUGAGUAACACGUGGGCAACCUACCUUGUAGACUGGGAUAACUCCGGGAAACCGGAGCUAAUACGGGAUGAUCAUUUGAAUCGCAUGAUUGAAAUGUAAAAGUGGGGAGUAAUCCUCACACUAUGAGAUGGGCCCGCGGCGCAUUAGCUAGUUGGUAAGGUAAUGGCUUACCAAGGCAACGAUGCGUAGCCGACCUGAGAGGGUGAUCGGCCACACUGGAACUGAGACACGGUCCAGACUCCUACGGGAGGCAGCAGUAGGGAAUCAUCCGCAAUGGGCGAAAGCCUGACGGUGCAACGCCGCGUGAACGAUGAAGGUUUUCGGAUCGUAAAGUUCUGUUAUGAGGGAAGAACAAGUGCCGUUCGAAUAGGGCGGCACCUUGACGGUACCUCACGAGAAAGCCCCGGCUAACUACGUG
rnacentral:rRNA from 1 species